UGACGAUGCAGGAGGAGACAAACACGAGGAGUGUAGCCAGGGAGUUUACUGCAAGGACCGCCACCACCAACAUCUGGGGCCUGUAAACGAUUACAAUUACAGGAAUUUGUCAUAAGCUACCACAAGGAGGAGGUUCCACUCCCAUUCCGAAAGCAUAGAUAAUACAGACAAACACUCCACAAUACAUGGGGAAAUCACAGUUUGACAUGGGGCUGAAAUUCAGUAUGAAUCUUGUUGCACUUUGGGAUUCCAGUUCUCCGUAGAGAAUGCAUCCUGCGACUCCGUUCUAAUGGGAAUACAGACAAGAAUGACUCGAAGUUUUAAGGAAACUGGGCUUCAGCUAUUGAGUGAACACGGCCUUCUUUCAUUUCGUUAAGAUCUUAUCCCUGCCACUGUUGUAGUAAAUGACCAUGGUUUAUUCCAUAUCCAGUGUGAUUCAAUGCUUCAACACCAGACGAAACGAACACGUUCAAAACAAAGAUAUAAUUAAUACAGGUGUUAAAACCUUUUUAUAAAUUAGCUCCGAUAAUUUUUUUUUUGCCUUUUUAAAAAAAUAGUCUAAACAUGGAUUGUCAUGGUAAUGAAAUGUUUUCGUCUGCAUGACACAUAACUUUUUUUGUUUUCUUUGUCAUAUAAACAUAUAAUGGUUUCCCCAUCGUCGGAUACCCACGGGUAAAGAUCGAACAUCAUGCAGAACUUUGUUAAUCUGAUCGACUUUGAAUUCAUACAUAUAUGUUUUGCCAACUUGUAUAAACUACUAGUAUAUAAGAAAACUGUCAUUUGUUAUAUUGUCAAUUUUCAUGUUAUAGAAAAAUAUUGUUAGGGAAACCAUUACCUAUGUUAAUAUGACAAAUAGAACAAAACAGUUGUGUGUAAUGCAGACAAAAACUUCAUUCAUUUUCAAACAAACAUAGUCAUCUAGUACAUAGAAACAAGUAAGUUAAAAUUUUGAAAUUAUGAACAGGAAAGGUGUGCCAACAUAAAGUUUAAAAAAAGAAAGUGGAAUAGUGUCCGUGCCAACGUAACUGUGCUCAAUAUUAACCUUUUGACAAAACCAGGAUGUUAAUUGCAUUCCAUAUUACUGAAAUCAUCUAAUUUUGAGUUAGGGGCUAAAGUAAGUUACGGGCAUACUAAGUACAUUUGAUCAAGUUCUAUAGUCCAAUUGUUCAAGAUAACUUGAGAUCGUCGCUAGCUCUUCUAUUUAGUGUCAUAUGUAAGUUUGACAUGUUUUAUUCUGAAAUGUCUGAUAAUGCCCAUUAGUCAACUCUCAUGCAAACCAAUUUUAGUAAUUUUAAAAAUCAAACAAAAAAAUACACCAGAAAUGUAAACCACUAUCUGAUGGACAUUUUUCUCGAUAGACAAAAAAUAAAAACUACCCUAUAACAAAGAACAAUAUAGCGCUAUCAUUUGCAUUUAAACUCGCCGUAUAUUUCCUUUUUCAAUUAUCAAUGGCGCAGGUUUUUCCAAGUUUUUGACCCAAAUAGAUAACAAAUUGCGCAGAAACUCAUUAGCUAGGGUCGGCUGCUCAAACCCCGCAUUGGCAUUUGAUGAACUCUCAAUAAACACAAUUAGAGGGCAUUUAAACUUAAUAUUGACACAGAUUGUUGUUAAAACCGCAUUUUUAAUGUUCUUUGAUAAAUUGAGAAAUACAGAAAUCUACUCUGCAGUAUAAAUAAUAAGGUAAUUAAGAUGUUUUAAAAAAUGAAAGUAAAAUAUGAAUUCAAAAUAAUUUCCGUUCACCUUCGUAACAUUAUUUCACAAAAUAAUCUUUCAGACCAUAAAAAACGUUUUGUCAAUGUUUAUUUAUGCUGCCUUAUAACAUUUAAUUCUGUAUGAUUAGCAGAUUUUUGAAGAUCCACAGAAAUACAAAUACAAAUGAAAGCGAUUUAAGUGAAGUAUUUACAUUUUCAUUGUUAUGAAAAUAAUAAAUACAACAUUUUCAAUACAUGUUUUAGAAAUAUUUUUAUCAUAAUUGAUUAUAAUGUUUUUAUAAUACUAGUAUUCUUU